rnacentral:misc_RNA from 1 species
AAGUCGUAACAAGGUUUCCGUAGGUGAACCUGCGGAAGGAUCAUUACCAAAUCCAAAAUACCCAACCCCAUGUGAACUAUUGUUUGUCUGUCUUUGGGGGAGCAUUUGAAAAAAAAACCUUUGGGUUUUCUUCUCUCUUUGCUCCCCCAUAUUUUAUGAAACCACUUUUGAUCUUAACGUUGGAAUAAUAACUUUAUUAAUAUAAAUAAAGGACAACUUUUAACGGUGGAUCUCUUGGCUCGU